UGGACAGACCCGGGCCAGUUUGCAGUUUGGUGUAAAAUUCUCCCGUGUGUGUCACAUACGAUUUGCACAUUUAUAGAGUGGUGCCCUUUUCUGUUCACAUACUCUGCCUCAAAUUCCUUGGGUGCAACAAUCCUCACAUGUGUUCCGUCUACUGCCCCUACCACACCAGGAAAUCCCGCAAUUUCCUCAAACUCUCGCCGCUUCACCUGAGUUUCUUGCACAGUGAGGGGGAACUUGAUGAAGCGUCUCACUAUAUGAGGCUGUGCAAGGGCGUACACAGUCUCCCGGGUGACCCUGCUGACGGUCUGUUGUGAAGGCCCCAAGUCGUCGCUGCUACACUGCUGCAUUUUGCCCGUAGCAAGAUACCUCAGUGUUACGAGGACCUUCAUCUCCGGGGAGAGGGCUUGGUUCCUGUUUGUAGGAGCAGUCAAGGCCUCACGCACCAAAUCAGCCACGAAGAGUAUCCCUGCACGGUCCAGGCGGUACCUCUUGAUCAAUUCCGGGUCCGGAAGUUCAUCAAGGACGUCUCUUCGUGCCCGAAAAGUCCUCAGCUGCCGCGGACGCGCACCCACUACCUCUGCCAUCUUGACUGUUAUGCCUCGCUUAUGUCGACAUAAGGAUUGCAAUGUUACCUCCACCCCGCGCGUAGCUGGCGAGUCAGUUUAUGUUCCGCUUAGUUGAAACAUAAGGGUUAUGCUUCCCUUAUGUCUCGGUGUCCGCCAUUUUCUUGAUUUAUGUCUCACAUAAGCGAAACAUACUCUUUAUAAGUACGGGCCCUGGAGCGCAACCAGACGGAGCAGGACAUUGUGUGCAAGGAAGUGAGUGAUGACGUGGCUGACCUGGACGGGCAGAUCAGACAGUCCAUGGAGGAGAUCCGGAACACCAACAUCAUGAUAAAGAACAACUACAAGCUUAUCCUCGAUGCUAUGGAGGAAGGCAACGUUGAGCUGAUGUCUGCCCUCACUGAGGCCACCAAGUGUGU